rnacentral:rRNA from 1 species
UACGUAUGGGGCAAGCGUUGUUCGGAGUUAUUGGGCGUAAAGGGCGUGUAGGCGGCUUAUCAAGUCUGGUGUGAAAUCGGCAGGCCUAACCUGCCGUGUGCGCUGGAAACUGGUAGGCUUGAGUUCCUGAGGGGAAGCUGGAAUUCCAGGUGUAGGAGUGAAAUCUGUAGAUAUCUGGAAGAACACCGGUGGCGAAGGCGAGCUUCUAUCAGAGGACUGACGCUGAGGCGCGAAAGCGUGGGGAGCAAACAGG